CCUGGUAAUGGUGAUAGGAUGAGAGGGAAUGGCCUCAACUUGCACCAGGGAAGAUUCAGGCUGGAUGUUAGAAAAAAUUUCCUCCCUGAAAGCGUGGUCAGGCACCAGUACGGGCUGCCCAGGGAGGUGGUGGAGUCACCAUCUCUGGAGGUAUCCUGGAAACAUUUAGAUGUUGUACUGAGGGACAUGGUUUAGUGGGAAAUAUUGGUGACAGGUAGACAGCUGGACUGUCCACCUUGGACAGUCCUGGAGGUCUUUCGCAGCCUUGGUGAUUCUAUGAAGUGUUCUGCACCCACACUACAGUCUUCCUUGGGGAUUUCCCUGCCUGAAGAAAUGGGCACACAGUGCCCAUCUUCACACCCAUCAGAAGCAGAAUGCAUGAGGAAGCCCCAGUACCCUUGCUGAGGUGAGCAGUGAGAGUUCAGUGCAGAAGUGCAUGCUUCAAGUCUUCUGUUGAGGCUUCUGAAGUUGAUAUCAUGGGAUACCCUCCUUCACAAGAAGAGAAACAAUUCAGCCAACAAUCCGCAAGCUAAAACAAGUCAGCAAAUACCCUUUGCCACCUUCUCAUGGGCCCUCAUCCAACCACACUUACAGUUUACCUGGUAUUCUAUCCACUACAAUGGACAUUUUAAACAACCAAAUAAUUUCAACCCUACGUAAUUAGAAGCCAAUCCAAAAAAUCCUCAUUUCCAGAUUUGUACAAAAACCCAAUACUUAUGAAACUAUACUGGCCAGAAGCAAUUAAGCAGACAGAAAUCAAAUACUGUUACAGUUUGUUUAAUAAGAACUCCUAGUCAUUUUGCCAUUAGAAAAUGAAAUCCUUAAGACUAAGUCAAAUUUCUCAGUAACAAGCUGUUCUCUUGGUGCCAGGAUCUGACAUAUUGCAUCUGAAAGCUUUGCUCUUAGUGUCUAGACAGCUAGAAAUACUCACUAGUUUGUUUUGGAAAAAUGUUUCCCUUCCUCAGUAUUUUACAUUGAAAUGAACUUGCUGAAACUCACAUAAAAAUACUUAACAUCUUUAAGUAUAAAGUUGAUCUUCAAAAUAGCCCUUCUUAGAAAUUGGCAGCACAAAGAACAGAUAUUACAGCAUACUUUGGUACAAAACCUUUGAAUGUUUGAGUCAACCAGUAUACAUUUUUACGGCCUAACAUACCAUGUCUGGCAAACCCCACCUUGUCUAGUCAGGAGCCCCACGCUUACAAACUAGAAUGCUUCAAAGCAAUACCACUGUGUCAUUCGUGUACCAGGGAAAGCAGUGCACCUCCACAGCUGUUCACAAGAAGGACCAUCCCACUGAUCCUCCGUUCCCGCCACGCUCACCAGGUUUGUUGGCAGCACAACCCAGGUGGGCAGCCCUGGCACACAAGUGAUGCCGCACGACUGCCAGCCCUACCUGGUACGGGACAGAGCAGUCCAACAUGGAAGCAAAUAGGAACUUGGGAAGCCUUCAUACCAGGAAGAUCACCAUUCCGUUGGGAUAACAGCUUAUUUAAUUUUUCUCAGAAACAUACAGUAACACACUGCACCCUCAUCAUCACUUAUGUGCUGUAAUACAGCUUUCAGAAGCUAAUAACUGCGUGUGAUUUUUAUGUUAAUUUCAUUGUUACCGAAUCACAUUGAACCAGCAAAUGGGGCAUUUUUUUCUCCCCUUCUUUACUUCAGAUCUUUUAAUAAAGCUUUCUGAAAGUUUCAAGUUUAUUGCCAAAAACAGCUAUAUAAGUAUAAACCACUCAAAGAUGCAAGUCCAGUAAUAUCUAUUUCCACUGCAGAUCAAUAACCCAGAUUGAAAAAUGAGCUAAGCUUUCAUUUUCACAUCCCACAAGAGUUAUACCCAACUUGUUUGCACUGAUUAAAAGUAUAUUCAUUCACAGCCAAAAUGGCAGACAUAUUCAGAUUUGGCAUGCCCUGAGCAACGUGCUGUACAUCAUCUAUAACCAUAGAACACCACUCCAAGAAUUAACCUAAUUCUGAUGUUUGUGUUACUGCCCAUAAGAAUUCUUUAAAAACAAAUGGAAAACCUUGUAACUAGAUAUUUCAUGCUUUAAAAAAACAUACACACGCUUUCAGUCAGCCACUUGCAGUAUAUUAGAGAUAACCAUGUCCAAAGAAUGUUUGACAGUAUAUUCUCAAAAGAAAUACUGAAAAAGGAGCUCUUUUAGAAUACUUAUGUUAUGGUAAUAUAGUUUAAAAUAUCUUUCCUGAGGCUUACUAGCAUACGCCACAGAUAUUCCCAUGCAUGCUGACACUAAUCUACCAUUAAAGAGGCAAUCUUAAAUUCAUAGCCCCAGAUAAGAAAGACUUUUGAUUAACACUAAACUUCUCUAUUUUAUCACUAUUCUCUUAUUUCCCUAUAUUAAAAACUUGUAAGAUUCCAGAGAUAGACUAAGUAUUGCUAUCUGGGGUGUAUGCUAAGUAUCAGAAACAGAUUAUGGUGAUGUGGGUCUCUGCCAGACCACAAAAUAUUACUGUAUCAUAACCCCACUGCAGAGAUACCAACCAAUGCUACAAUACAAGACUUUGAAGUAUGAUUAUUUUUUGAGAUUAAACGCUUUAUUCUUUUCAAUCUGCGAAAGAAAAAAAAAAAAUCAAUUUCCUUGUGUUUAUUUUGAAAUUGGUACCAAACAAUUAAUAUUGCAUUAUGAAGAUCAUGGAAAAGCUUCCACAAGAGCUCAGGACCCCACUUUAUGAACCGUAAACAAGUAUUUAUGCUUGUUUUUAAAGGAACUGACAGAAGUUCUGCAGAUUAAAGUCCAGAUCCUCAACUACAGCAUGCUCCAGGAUAAGACCACUUUUGUUUCUCAGCAGUAGUCAGAGUCAUUGACAAAAAUGAGACUGGCCUAAACAGCAAUGUGUGCCAGUCAUCAAGAGAAACUGGAACCAUCACAGCAGGAAGCCACCAACACCGGCACUUGCAGAUCGCAUCCCUGUGCAGUUCAGUACCCACAUCCCACUAAGGUAACAAUUUUCCUUUUUUGGUGGUAGAACUCUACCAAACCGAAAACAGAAAUGUAUGUUUUUGCUCUGCUGAUUUGUAUGGGAUACAGAAAACUCAAGGAGUUUCCUGCUUGUUUCGGUCUCCAUAACAACACUAUUAUGGAAUAAAAUCUCAGCUGAACUCUGCCACAAUGUUUCCAUUUAAUUCUAAACUGAAUCACACACAAAAAUUUAAGUUAAACCAGCAAACUAACAAAAACACAUAAACCCACACAAGCGUGAUCCUGCCACUGGCAAGCUAUUUUCAGAUUUCUUUACCAGAAAGUAGAAAAAAAGUUACAAAACACUGACAGUAAUGUCACAAUUCUGCAGUCAGCCAAAUCCCCAUUUUACAGAGUUUCUAGUUGUGGAAAAUAUGCACUACAGUUUUAAGUCGGAUUUCAACAUAUGUGCAGAGUCUCAAUGCAAACUGCGGAUGGUUUACCAGCAGCAACUCAUGUAGCCUCUGCGGAGGAGCUACACAAUCACAGCUAGUGCUGCAAAAUACACUGCAUUUCCACAAAUACGCAGCGAUGCUUGCAUGCAACAGCAUGUGUUUCCACAAAACGCUAUUGCUGAGGCCCAGCAGACCCACAAGUCAGAAGGUCUUAAACUCUUCUUUAAACAUUGCUCUCAAAAAUAAAAAGACCUCCCGUACAUUUUCAGAAAGCCCAUUUAGCAACUUUUUCCCCACCUCCCACAUAUUUCCUUUCAGAUACAAAAACUAUCGUACUGAAAUGCAUAAAGCUAUCUGCAGAAUCUCAACUGAUGUCUCCAUUUAUUUAUUUAUCAUUGUUGCAGGCUAUUGAUUCUUUAUUCUUUUCUUCCAUUAGUGUUUCCUUCCAUCUGUCAAUUUGUAUUUGUCUGGAUGUAUAUGCAAUAAAGCAACGAAUGGAUCGUUUUUCAAGAUGUUCUGCAAAGUAUAGGUAACAGAAGCUGUCAAACAUUAAAGGCUGUCCUUCUAGCUGAGUUUAUAGGGUAAUUUUUAAACAAGAAUUGAACUUCUAAAGCCAGAUCUUUGAACGAGGCUAAAACCAAUGAAGAGUUGGGGUCUUGAAGUUUAGAUUUGACAUGAGAACAGCGACAUGACAAUUCCUCAUUGACAUUCUGCUCAUUUCCAGUGGCUUCUAAAAUGAAAGCACUGCACUCAGUCAGAGCCCUUUAAUAAUCGGUGAGCUGAAGUUUAUGCAUGCAAAAUUGUGGCAGAGAAGGCUCGCUACUUUAGCAGGCUCAGUUAAUUGCAAACAGACAAUACUGAAAAGAGCACUGAUCAGCAGCUCCGCCUUUCACUGUACUUGGAAUGAGAAAUAACCAAAUCAGAGGAUCCAGACCUACACAAAGCAAAGACUGAAAAUAAGCCAUACUAUCUCUUUUACAUAAAACCACAAGAAUGAUUAGUCACAUUCCAGAUAUUUCUGGACUCCUGCAAAGUAGAGUAGCACUCAGAGGCUGAGUCAGAACUGAGCUCUCCGUUCUUUUCCCUGUUGCAUAAGCACAUAGGGGACAUCAAAAGUUUACAUUCUGGCUUUUGCUCAGAAAAAACAGUGACCGACCAGAAGCAUAAAACUCUGACUGCAUAUACUGUGACCAUGGAGACCAUGGAUUUCAACACUCAUGGAAGUCGUCCUAAGAAAGAAUCCCACAUUAAAAAAAAAGUUCAUCCUUCGUCACUUUGUUGACACUCUCAUAAAGCUUCUCCUACCCAGUCUGCUGUAUGGGCUGUUUUCAGGCAGGCUACCUCCUGAUACAGCCUCAGGCCAAAUCAAGGAAGAGAGACGUGGGCCUGGAACAAUAUAAAAUAAAAUGCUGAUAGGGAGAAGUUACGUUUAGAUCCACACAAACAGCAGCACAAGCACUGAGGCACCUGAAGUUGGUACCAAUUCCGCAGAGCCACCACUUGUCCCCAUCUGGUCCUGACUGUUCUGUCUGUAUUCCUCAGAUAAGUCUGGCAAUUUGUUUUUAAUGUGCGCAAUUCAAUGUCUCUGCUGUAGAGGCGAUCAUUCUGCUACAGUCAGUCAGAUACUCAGCAUUUGGUUUUUUUCUUUCCGUCCUGCUGGACCCUGCCAGCAGCCACUGCUGGCAGCCCUGCACUCCCAACAGGGGAGGAGCUGAAUGUCCUUCAGUACCCAUUCCCUCUCCUGUUUCAUGGAGUUAGAGAACAAAACUGGAGUGAAAAAAGUCAGGUACUAAGGACAACACGGGCAAAGAGUGGGCAAGAAGGAGCGGUCUGCACAACCAGCCUACACUUUCUGUGCUGCACCAAGCCCCAUCACAAACAACACUCACGGUCCCAUCCACAAGUUACAGGUGCCCCUCCCUGAAUAAAUGAAGGACAUACAGUCACUGUUUUGGAGUACGCUGAAUACAUUAGAAUGCCAUGGAGUUUCCGUUAGCGUCCUAUAUACAAACAUCGGUCACUACUAAAGUGAUUUUUAUGCUGUUGUUAGAUCCAUAGGUAAGACUUUCUCCAAUCUGUGGAACAAAAGGAAGGGAAGGGGAGAAUGGAAAGAACAUAAAUCCUUUGCAAAGAUACUCCUAGUACAGAUUCAGCAUCAGCUCUGGCAAGUGUAUCCCUGGCUGCUACUGCAGGUAACAUAGGAGGUGCAUCUUGUUACAACAAACCCUGCAGUAUGCCACCAAGGCUGGCUCACUGCACACGGAGUCAGUAAGGAGUUUCUUCAAGCUCGGCAAUUCUCAAAGCAAAGAAAAUGCAUCUGCUGAGGGAAAAGCAGUUCCAACAGAACUGAGAUGCAUGACUUCUUUCUUACAUUUUGUUCCAAUCCAUCACAAUGCCAUGAGUGUGCAAAGCAUGUUCCAUGUUCCAAGCGUAUUAUAACGAUACCACUCUUGAAGAACUGUCUAGACUGGUUGAAGGACAUGAAAAUCCAGUUGACACUCAACCAGGUGCCCCUUUAAGCCUCUCCUGCCUGAACCUUAUUCAAGGAUGCCAAGAUGCUCCUAGUGCUGCGGGAUCACAUGCAUACAUACCCAUCCUUUUCCUCGUAGCCAUCACUGAAAUGGAUUAUGGACGUUCUAUAUACUAUACACUAAGCUAUUCAUCACCAUUCUGCACUAAACCUCCUAAAGAACAUGCAUGCGCACAGCCUUCCUCCACUUACUGCCCUCUUCUAACACUGUCCACGUACAUAAGGAUUUCAGAUCAUGAACCCCAUUUUCUUGCACGUCUGCAAAUGCCUAACACCAAACAUUCUUUUGUUAUUAUAAUCUCCCAUGCGCCACCUACAUCUCUGAAGUUCAGCAUACAGAUUCAGUAGGUACACAUAAUAAAAUUGAGAACACUCAAGUCUAUAAACUCUUGAGGAUUUAUCUAAUGCCACACCAAAGAAAAAAAAAAACCCCUCACCAUGAGCCAAACGCAUUACUCUUGAUUACCACUCAAAUCCAAAAAGAAUUUGGAAUUUGAUAUCCGAGAGGGCACACAAAGAACUGCCCAGGAAGAAAAAGCUGGCAGAGCCUUUUUGUACCUAAAUAAAAUGCACCAAUGAAGGAAGCAGCAGACAGCACAAUGCUUUUCAAUCAUACAGACCCCUUUUUGCAACGUUCCAAAGCCCCUGAAGAAUUACAUAUGUAGGGAGAAGUAUCGCAGGAACAUAAAAAUGAGACUCAGCUUCUCAAACUCUUCUGAUAACUCCUAAGAAAUAGAUACUCAACUGAGUAAGAACUUUUGGACUGAGCCUAGUUGUUGUUGGUUUUGCAUGUGUUGUCAUUUGUUGAGUUUUAUUUUAUUUUUAAUAGCUUGUUUUGAUAUAGCUGGCUACAGAUUUUAAAUAGCAAGCCAUUUUCUUUUUGGCAACUUUAAAAAAAAGUAGUGUCAUUAGCUUCAAGUCCAUAAAGCACCUCGUAAGGUUUCACUAGUAGGAAAGAAAAUACAACUUGGAAGCAGCUCCACUGUCAGUCCCUUGAACUGUAGCUGCUACCAAAUGGCAAUAGGUUAUCUGAUGAAAUUAUUCAACACAUUCGAAAGAUGCCCUGUUGCUACCACAAUCACCAGUAAUUAUUGGGGGGGGGGGGAGGGGCUGGAGAUUAGACUCUAGAAAUGCAGUAUGGUUUUCAAGGACUACUCCGUACAUGUCUAGUCCUCAUUAAGUUAAUGAAACUACACAAGUAUGGAGGCCAAUAGCAGCAGGUUUCAUUCCAGGAGUGGAGUUUUAGCCUUUAAAUAGAGCGUAUUCCUAAGGAAUAAUGCAGCACAAACUUAGGAUGCCCGGAAUGUGGUGUGUCACCAUCCAGUUUAUUAGUGGAAUGCAAAUGAUAAAGUACUAUGUUAAUUAUUUAAGAAGUGUUGCUGAAAUGGUUAGCUGGUAAAAUCUGCAGUAGAUCUGGAAAGAAGUCAACCAAGCAUCAGAGAAAAGAAGGCUGGAACAAACCAUGUCUACACAUGAGCACAAAGCUUACUGAAGGUCUGACCAUUUACUAGGAAUUUAUGUCCAGCAGAUCCUCGGCAUUUCAAAGGUAGGACAGGAAGACCACAUUUUAAGAAGCAUCAAUUAUAAUAGUUUUAUUAUUAUUAUGAGAGGGUUAGUUCAUGUACCUGAUACUUUGAAACAUAAUUAUUAUAAUACUUAAGUAAUUCAUAGCAGAUUUAGUAAACGUGACAGAGCCUUCCUAAUACAACACCUCACCACAAUGAUGCCAACUCCUACAGAAGAAUGGGAUUUUUUUUUUUUAAACGCAUAUUACAGAGUGGGUGGAUAAAGAGAAAUGCAAACUGCAAAAUCAUACAAGUAAAUAAAAACAUACAUAAACAAGGUGACAGCCUGCAAGUGCUCCUCUUGAAAAAGCAAUCAAGUAAUAAUACCAUUUUCCCUCCUGAACAAGCUCCUUUGAAAUAUGGACAGUGAUAAAAAAAAAGACUGAAAAUGAGUUUUCAAGUGCUCUUUCUACAAAUUAUGCUUUAAGUUACUGACCGCGUUUAGUCAUCUUAAUUUCUACAGCACACUUUGAACUUGAUGAGAGAAACUGCAGCUAAAAUUGCAGCAACUGAACAGAACAAUCGUAAGAAAGACCAGAAUAUGCCUGUUCACUUGGUUAAGUUAUACUGACACUAGUGACAUCUUCAAUCAAAUGUCUUUGUAAUGACUCAAUAUUUAAACAUCGCUACGGAUAACAAGCUUCUUCCUGACCUGAAGAAACAGAGCAUCUCCAGGCCUACACAUCGCUAUCCUCAUUACAUCAUAAUGACAGGAAGAAACAGUUUUAAUAGAAGCAAACUAUUCUUUCUCCUCUUAAGAUGUGUGUAUCGUUAUAAAAUGGAGUCCUUGCAUAUGACAGGUGCAUCCCAGCCCCCAGGACAGGGGAGUGCCACACACUCAGCCCGGGCUGAGAGGACAGCAGCACUCCAUGCCACAGCCAAGGGCUUCUCUAGCAGCUCCGAGAUGUGGGCACCCAGAUCCAAGCUGGGCAAGGGCUGCUGCAGGGCCAUGACAAGCUGACAUGUAGGAGUGGGCUCAGAGCAUGGCCAGAGAGCCCCUAACAAGGGAUGCAGGAAAAUAAACAGCUGAGAGGAUUGAAACUCAGAGGCAGCACUUUCCUCAGCACUAUUUCUUCCCAAAAGGCAAAAUAUAUUUUUAGUGCUUGGGGAGGGAGGGGCCAGGGAAGCUUAGAACUGUGGUUGAUCACUCUCUGUAUCGCACUGUUCCUGCUCUCUUGACAAAAUUCACUCCUUUGGGCUGCAGUAGAAAAGCUGCAAAGGAAACAAUGACAUGAAGCAACUAGAUAAUGCCUGUUUAUCAACUAGAUAAUGCCUAUUUAUCCUACAUAUGCACUACGAGUUGUAUGGCUGAAACAAGGCUCCGUUUUCCUAUUACCACCACGGCAGGUUAUGCUCACAGAACAGAAUUUCACAGACGAGCUUGCUGCUUUUAGACAAAGUGCCUUUAAAUGUGAACCAUCACAUGGGGAUAAGUGAAAAUAUUCUGCUGCAAGAAUGAGGAGCAAGCUGGCCAGUCACAGCCAUGACAUUACAUUCCCCCUCAACUGAGCGAUGUACAGAAAUGACGGCUGAACUAGAUGAUCUCAGUGGUCUUUUCUAGCCUUAAUAAUUUUAUGAAACGCGAGCACACCACCAGCAGAGCCCUCUGAACGGGGGCUACCUGGCAGGGCUCUGCCAUCCCUCCAUCAGGGCACCGCGCAGGCUGGCGGCAGUCCGCCAUCGGGAGCACCAGGAGUGCCCUUGAGAAACGUCCAGGCUGCAGCGGGUGCACAAACGCUCUCCCUGGGCAAACAGCGCACGGGAAUUUCUCUUUCGCUCCUGACCUGGCAUCAGCAAUCCAUUAAAAGGAAGGAUCACGCCUUCAGUGCUGAUGAAGCAGCGUUGUAUGUGAAGUCAGGGACUGUCAUUGUCACUUUUAUGGGUACACUCAGGUCCGACAACUGUUCUGCCAAGCACUGUGCAACUCUCAGCUAUGAUGAUACAACAUAAACGAAUGGAGGACCCAGCACAGCUGGUACAUGCGGAAGAUCAUUUAAGGGUGGUUGUGUGCUGGGCAAAUGAAUAAAAGGAGAAGCUGCACAGUGAUCCUCAUAGAAGUAGCAUGGGUCUGUGUCUCACACCUGAAGAAAGAUAAAUUCCCACUGAAUUUGUAGAGCUGAGAGAGGAAAUGAGAGUUGCGGUCAGCAGUAGUCAGCUGGAACAAGGGACCCUGAAAAAGCACAGCUAUAGCCUGCAUAUGGGAUCAGCUUGCAGCUAAACACUGAGCAAGUGCUGCAGGCACACGAAGCUGAAAACAGAUCUUUCCCACAUCCAAGGACUGAGCAAAAAGGGAAGUGCUGUUUGAGAGAAGUGCUAGCAAUAUGGAGAGUUCUGCUUUUGGGACCUAAUCCUGUACUCAAACACACAAAUCUUUCAAUUAGCUCUCCCGCACAGAACUGGCAUGUGAAUUUAGCCAUCCAGGUACAAAAUCAUUCAUCGUUAUCACCCUUUGUCAAUUUAUAGAGGAAGAUGAUGGAGUAUACAACCGCUGUGUUGCUCCUCAUUUGAGAAAUAUGACAUGGCAUGCAUAGAUGAGUUGAAUUUUGCAAUGCUAUAUUUGCAUUGAUAGGAUAUGUGCCAGGUCUGUACGGGUAGGCUGGGGCUUAUUUUAGUGUUUAAUUGCCAUUGGUACUAGUUGAAACCCAACUCUGUAUCAAGAUGUGCUUAACAGGAAUAAAAGGUCUGUAAUUCUAAAUCAGAUCAGUAGUCCAGCCGAUGUGUCGUCUGUAGCAGUGGCCAGCAACAAAUAUUUCAGAGAAAGACACACAAAGCUCCACAGUGGACAAUCACGUUAUAAUCUGCUGAUUUGGCUAAGUUUCUACUGCUGCCAAGGAUGCAGAAGAGUCUGGUUUAUGCCCUGAAGCACAAAACUUCAUGUCCUUUAUAUCCUUAAUGGCAGAAUAACCCAUCGAUAACAUGUAAGAAUGACCGCCAUUUUUCAAAAGAGCAGUGCUGUCUCCUGUCGGCUGUUAUUGCUGGGGCUAGAGAACACAUUGAGUCUACCCUCCUAAACUGACAUUAAAAGCUUUCAGAUCCAUAAUGUACUCUGGUGUUUUUCAUUUGAGGCAGGCUGCAAACAGGGGCAUCUUCAGGAGAAGGAGCAGUGACAGAAAGGAAAUUACUUCUAAGGCAAGAAUAUCCAUGGCUUCUGGUUUCCCUGCAGGUUUUUAGAGCUGCUUGAGGAGGUGAAAGACUCCUUAAACAAAGGGUUUAAUUCUCCGUGGUUUGGCUGAGGGACAGAUCAGGAUUCUUUCCCUCUCUGGCAGCCACAGAAGCAAGAUACCUAGGGCAGCAAGGAACACAUGGGGCUAGUCAGCAGGCUACUUUUAAUACCUUUGUAUAAACAUGGAGGCAUUCUUUUUUUUUAACUCCUACUGAGCCAAACUGGUGCUUCUGUAAAAAUCUCAGAUUUUGUGUUUGCAAAUAUUUUUUUUCUUAUAAAUUGUUUCUUUUCCAUUUGGAAGUGCAUUGAUUUUUGCUUCUUUGGCUCUUCCUCAGACUUCUGGGAAUAGCAUUUAGUGGUUCUCACCUGCCCCAGAGCUAGCAGGAAUGCCAAAAAAAAAAAGGACCUUUGAGGUUUUGUAGAGUUUAUAAUACAUGGUGCUGGCCAUAAUUGUGGCUUAUUUAUUUACUUUUAAGUUACUUGUCAUGCUGAUCUUACUGGAAAAUAAAAAUCCACAGCUAUUUUAACUCACACUGUACCCCUGGAUGCCCCAAUAUACUUUAAGGACUAAUUCCCCUGCCUUUUCUUUGUAGUGUCUGUAUACAAAAACAAGAUGAUACAAACAAGUAAUACUUUGUGCCAGAGAUUAUUUCUGGCCUUUCUGACCCAGUCAAAGCUGGCAGGAACAGUGCUCUGCCAAUCUAAUGGGCGUAGCUGUAGAAAAGGAGAUAGGGCAUAUUAGUGUUCCAGGUACCAACAUCAUAAAUUGUGCUGGGAAACUCCUAAGAGGGUGUGAGGGCUGACAGAGAAAGGUGCAAAGGUGGAAUACAGGGGAGGGAAGAAUACUCUGAAUGAGAACAAGA